CGCGUAGGCGGAUGUUACAGUCAGGCGUGAAAUUCCUGGGCUCAACCUGGGGGCUGCGUUUGAUACGUGAUGUCUGGAGUUCGGAAGAGGGUCGUGGAAUUCCCAGUGUAGAGGUGAAAUUCGUAGAUAUUGGGAAGAACACCGGUGGCGAAGGCGGCGACCUGGUCCGAUACUGACGCUGAGGCGCGAAAGCGUGGGGAGCAAACAGGAUUAGAUACCCUGGUAGUCCACGCUGUAAACGAUGUGCGCUGGAUGUUGGGUGACAUAGUCAUUCAGUGUCGUAGCUAACGCGAUAAGCGCACCGCCUGGGAGUACGGCCGCAAGGUUGAA
rnacentral:rRNA from 1 species